rnacentral:rRNA from 1 species
CCUACGGGAGGCAGCAGCGGGGAAUUUUGGACAAUGGGCGCAAGCCUGAUCCAGCAAUGCCGCGUGAGUGAAGAAGGCCUUCGGGUUGUAAAGCUCUUUUGUCAGGGAAGAAACGGUCUCGGAUAAUACCUGGGGCUAAUGACGGUACCUGAAGAAUAAGCACCGGCUAACUACGUGCCAGCAGCCGCGGUAAU